CCCGCCUCAGGGACCGCUCUUCCCGCCUCAGGGAUCGCCCCUCCCUCCUCAGACACCGCCUCAGGGGAGCCCGCCCGGUGAGACGCGGGUGUGGGGAAGAGCGGGUUGCCAGUCCUGUCAAACCGUGUUGGUCUUGUCCUGUCAGAUGUACUCGGACUUGGGUGGGAGUAAACAUCCACAAGUUAAUCCUGGUAGGGUUUAUUGGUGAGCAGAUGAUGCCCUGAAAGAAAACAAGAGAUCACGCGGGAAAUCCUGUUGUGAAGAAGUCUGGGAGAACUGAAGUUGUUUUAAGAUACACUCCUCUCCUUGAAGGAGAAUCUCAUGGAUGCUGCUACCACGCAAUCUGUUCAACACGAGGAUUCAGCAUUGGAAGAUUCCUUAGAAAUUUCCAAUUUCUGAACUCAGAGGAUCGACUCGUAGAUCAUUCAGUUGAACUGCACCGGUUACUCAGCUAACACAAGCCACAAAGCUUCAGUUCACUGGGACCUGACCUACUCUGAAUAACAUGUUUUGAUCCAGCAUAAGCUAAGACAACUUUAAUAAGGCCAGAGGCUUUUCAAGGCAUCCAGAAGCAGCCCACAGGAAUUCUGAGAGUGGAGCUGAAUGAAGCCAUGGAGAUGAGUCAGGAUUUCAUGAACCUACUGAAUGGAUGUGAGGAGCUAAAGCCAGGUUGCUGUUAAACUAUGUCUUAAGGAGUUCUCUUGCUUGAAAAAGGAAAAGAGGCUUUGAUACAUGACCAGAUGCCUUCAGGCACAGGAGGCAGGGAGCUCCUGUCCUUGCAUAAAUAAGGAAUGACAGCAGCAGACAGGAGGAGAAAACUUCAGGGUGAGCUGUGGGAAAUCUCCAGAUGUGUCAUCCUUCUUUUCCCAAGUGGUUAGUGAAUCCAUGGGACCGGAAUUCAAGGUGGCUCCUUCUUCAGGCUGAUUCUAAUAGUGAGUAACGAUGGUGCUGACAUGAACCACAUAAAAUGCUUUGGUUUAGGUGCUUUAAUGAAAGUUCUUGAUUAUGAGGCUCUUCUCAAAAUGUGGCCUGAAGUCCCCGUAUUUCUGAAGCAAAAUUGAAUUAAUUGGGUGGAUGCAGACACUGUUCAUUUUGGUAAGAAAAUGCCACUGCAUAUAUGUGAGCAAUCUGAAUAAAUAUGGAUCCUCCAGCAUAAAUACAAUAACAAGUUGGUAGAUUUUGGCAGAGGGUGGAGACCUGGGACAACCCCUGUGACCUCUCUGGAAGUUUGAAAGCAGGUAGAGAGCGGUCCCUGUAAAAGCUUUUAUGCUCAAGCUCAACCACAGCACUCACUGCCUUUAUCUUAACCUUCCAAGUAUAUAAAUAUGAGAGAAAACAACUAGGGUUCCACUCCUGAUAAAUUAGCACUGCGACCUUGGUCGUCCCCUGAAGCGUCAGCUUCAUGUGAGAGCAGCUAAGGCUUUGUGUCGUGGGUCGUCAUUUGUGCAGCUGCCAGAUGCUCACAAAUCUGUUGGCUGUGAAAUUUGACCAUAAAAGCAUUGUGGGAGUCCGACAACAAGUCUUGGUUGGUUUGUUGACCUUGGUCCUAACAAACAUAAUCUUGACUGGUUUUAUACCCCGGCUGUUUUGAAGACACUGAGCUAAAAGUGAGGAGGCCCAAAAGUAAUUAUUGCAGUGGCCAAGCCAUCCCAAAAUGCCGCGUAAAAACCUGAAGGACAAAGUCAAGUUUCCAAAUGCAAGCAGAGCGUGCAAGGAUUAACUAUUAUUUUUGUUAGGAAACCAUUGUAAACUGAUAUUCACUUUUGUAGGUGCCCUUUUAAUAAUUUCACUGCGCCAGUAACCUAAUGCUUGGAAGAAAAUACUAUCUCAGCAGUACCUCCAUAAUUAAGAUUUCACCUCCCAGUGUCAGGCUGCCUGCAGGGAGUGUGCUGUCAUGAGUCUGGACACGUUCUUGUGAGACCUGAUAUUGUUGUUUCAAUGCAAUAGGGAACUUCACGUUCAGCUGGAGCGGGGAAAAUGAUAAUAUUAUGGCCUGACAAUGUUAUUCUUUUAAUGGAUGGUUUGUACCUCUAACAAGGAAAGUUUUAUGAGAUUUGUAUUGGCUUGGUUUACAGAAAGUGUACCCAUUUAGUGGUUCACCUUGACAUAACUUUUCUGCUUUAUAUUACUGCUCGGUGCAUAGGAACAGAAUUGCUUUAAAUUUUUUUCUUUAUUUUUCUUGCCUUUGUCUUUAAAAUGCUCCAAAGGGUCUCUGUGUACGGUGUGGUUUCAAACAGAAAAAUAUAUUAAUUUUGAACAGGCAUUUUGUUUUAAUAAGUAUCCCUUUCAGGACUCUUGUGUCUUUAUUGGUACGAAUGGCACGGCUUCAAAGGAUAGAGAUAAAUACUUCAUUCUUAGCAUUGAAAACAACCUCCUGUCAGCAGAAAAGCUGCUUUUUGAACUGGUUGGAGCCUAGAUCUGAGAAGUUAUUAAUUUCUGACAUCUCUUAGGCUCUCUCUUUUCUUUUUAACUUCCUUUGCAGGCAAAAUAAAUGGCUCAGUCUUGUCCUGAGUGGGAGGCUCGGGGCAGUGGGUGCAGGUCUGUGCCAGGUCCCAGCCUCGUGCAGAGCCACACUCGGGCACCCAAAGCAGCACCUGCCUUUCAGUGAGGUCAGUACCUUCUCUUUGUGGUUGCUUGUAAAUCCUUGAAACCUGCUAUGGGAGCCUGACAUCUAAUUUAGGAGCUUAGGAACUUAAGUCUGAAAAUUUUGACUUAACCUCUUUCGACAGUGGGAGCGCACACAAACGUUGAAAGAGCAGUCUUUUGUUCUGAACAAUCUUUUUCUGCAAGCAAGAUUCAGGUAGAAGAUGCCACCUAUUUCAUUAAAAUGCUUUUUAGUUGUUGUUUCUUAAAACCUUUCCAUUUUAUCAGGCUUAGGCUAGGAUGCAAAAAUCAACCCAUGCUCUGUCUGCCUUUCACACCCUCCCCAGAGAAGGAACAUUUGGUGUGGGGCAGACAAGGGAUUUAAGCUUGUGGAAGUCGUGCAGUCCCAGCAGGUGACACUGGAACUUCCCAGCUGAAGCAAUAGGAAUGGUGGGUGUGUAGAGGUAACAUUAAGAAGUCCUUGUGUGGUGUAAAUUGGCCAUUGAGGGGAGGGGAAUUAGAAAGCACAGGCAUUUUGUUUGGCUGCUGGUUUUCCUCUCUCCUUUCCGCUGGCUCCAUGCCCCUACCUGAGGGCAAGGAGGAACUGCCCAGCACUGCGUGAACUCAGCUUGGCUGGGAAGCAUCAACAAGGGCUGUGUGGAUCAGUGUUUGAAAACAGGCUACAAAAAUAAUAUUUACGUAUUGGGAAAGGUUUUAGAGAUUUUCUGUCUGUCCAGCUCAAAUUUCAGCUCUUUGAGCAGGAUCCACAAAAGACUGUUCUUGAAAUCAAGCUCCUACACCAGAUUUGACAUCAAGAAGACACAAUGACAAUUUGUCCAAACUAAUGGACUUGAAAUCUGUUUUUUCUCUGGGAAAUGUUUAAUACUAUUCCUUAUGUUCAAAUGAGUUGACAGAUCAGAGAAGUGAGUAACACUUUCUCUAAUGUUAUGUUCUCUGUUUCUGAGGAAAUAGCAAAGACAAAAUGUUCACUGUGUUUAUCCUUAGAAUCCCUACUGGACUCCAAGGACUUCUACAGAUGAGAGGAUAGGAAAAACAGCCAUGGAAAUUUAGAGUUCAGGCUCCUCAAGAAUAAAAAGCAGGAGACUUCAGUUCACUACUUUGCAGAUUCUCAAUCCUUAACAGUAAUCUUUUUUAAUAUUUCAAAAUAACUUUCCUCAUAAUGUAGUAGUGCAUUUGGAGACCUUACAAAUCUGAAAUGUAAUAAAUUUUUUAUUUUACUUUAUUUUACUUGAACUAAAACACUGAUUAAAAUAAGCAGUCUCAUACUGCUGGUUUUAACAGUGAAUGCCUAAACAGACCCCUUGAAAAAUGUUUUAGAAAGCCAAAUUUCUUCCAUAGGUGAAACAGAAGUGAAAAAAUAUUUAGCAUGAAACAUAUUUUUGUACCCCCACUGAACUUUCAUUUUUCAUAUUUUUGGUGCUGGUUUGAACCCCAAUCCCUUGUAUUUCUUUCCUAUGUGGAACAUUUUCAGGAGCUCAGAAGACAACAGGCUGAAGUCUC